rnacentral:lncRNA from 1 species
UAGAGUCCUUGGAUAGCAAUGGCCAUGCUCAAAUUUCUUGUUGCAAUUAAAACAUAAACAUUUGUCUUUAUGUUGUUGAAACUCCUCGUUGGUUAGGGACACACUUUUUUGGUGCUACGUCACCACGAGUCACGUUAGUGGAAUUCUUAACUAUAAAAUCUAUCAAUCGUGUUGUAACAGAACUAUGUAUGGGGGUGAGGUUCCUUGUGUAACCAUUGGGGUGUUGUCCUCCUCCAUAGUUUUUCUCAUCUUGGGCAAGUGUUUCUACCUAGGUCUAGUAAAUGGUCCACAUCUGUCACUCAUUCUUCUUAGCUGCUUCCAUUAACUGCAUAAUUUCCAUCGAUUGGAUGUCGAUGAACUUUGCCUGAAUGUCGGGUUUCAAGCCCUUCAUAAAGGUUUCCUCUAAAACUAUUUCCAACAAGGGAGGAAGGUAAAUAGAAAGGCAUUCUAAGUUUUUGUAAUAUUCUUUAAUAGUAUUGUGCUGCUUGAUGUCUAGAAAGACGUAGACUAUGUUGACUGAUAUGUCAUCAUUGAAAGGUUGUCCAAUACAAACUUUGAAAUCGGUCUAAUUUUGGAAAAUAUAAUAAUCUUUGGUCCAUAUUAGCCACUAUAG